UUAGUGAACUGGUGGACUUGCAGAGAUUUUUCCCUUGAAGUACAAACGUCAGCAUUAGACUCCCCAUGAUUUAUUCUUUUGGUUCAAUUUCUAGGUGCCAUAUCAUGUUCUCAGUGCAAAGGAAGUGGAGUUAAUUCUGUAGAUCACUUCAAUGGGCAGUUUAAAGCUGGUGGACUAUGUUGGCUUUGCAGGGGUAAGAAACAGGUUUUGUGUGGAGAGUGUAAUGGAGCUGGUUUUCUGGGAGGAUUCUUGAGCUCAUUUGAUGAUUAGAGUCGCAAGAUUGCCUAUAGAGAGAAAAGGUGGAUCAAAUGUUCCUCUGUUGAUUUUUGUUUGUUUUGUUUCUAAAUAUUGCCAUAUGUAAUUGUGUCUGUAAGAAACAGCAUCUGUUUCACGGUUUUCACAAUAUUACCUUGAAGCAAGGGAAGUGUAGAAUCGUUUUGUAUUGAUUGAUGUUUAUGACUUCAUUCAGUGCAUACCUGCUAGAUUUUUCCAAUA